rnacentral:rRNA from 1 species
GACGAACCGUGCAAACGUUGUUCGGAAUCACUGGGCGUAAAGCGCACGUAGGCGGAUUGUUAAGUCAGGGGUGAAAUCCCGGGGCUCAACCUCGGAACUGCCUUUGAUACUGCAAAUCUCGAGUCCGGAAGAGGUGAGUGGAAUUCCUAGUGUAGAGGUGAAAUUCGUAGAUAUUAGGAAGAACACCAGUGGCGAAGGCGGCUCACUGGUCCGGUACUGACGCUGAGGUGCGAAAGCGUGGGGAGCAAACAGG